rnacentral:rRNA from 1 species
AGAGUUUGAUCCUGGCUCAGGAUGAACGCUAGCUACAGGCUUAACACAUGCAAGUCGAGGGGCAGCAUUUUAGUUUGCUUGCAAACUGAAGAUGGCGACCGGCGCACGGAUGAGUAACACGUAUCCAACCUGCCGAUAACUCCGGAAUAGCCUUUCGAAGGAAAGAUUAAUACCGGAUAGCAUACGAAUAUCGCAUGAUAUUUUUAUUAAAGAAUUUCGGUAUCGAUGGGGAUGCGUUCCA